rnacentral:rRNA from 1 species
ACGAAGGGUGCAAGCGUUAAUCGGAAUUACUGGGCGUAAAGCGCGCGUAGGUGGUUCAGCAAGUUGGAGGUGAAAUCCCCGGGCUCAACCUGGGAACUGCCUCCAAAACUACUGAGCUAGAGUACGGUAGAGGGUGGUGGAAUUUCCUGUGUAGCGGUGAAAUGCGUAGAGAUGCGGAGGAACACCGAUGGCGAAGGCAGCCCCCUGGGCCAAGACUGACGCUCAGGCACGAAAGCGUGGGGAGCAAACAGGA